rnacentral:rRNA from 1 species
UAGGGAAUCUUCGGCAAUGGGGGGAACCCUGACCGAGCAACGCCGCGUGAGUGAAGAAGGUUUUCGGAUCGUAAAGCUCUGUUGUUAAGGAAGAACGAGUGUGAGAAUGGAAAGUUCAUGCUGUGACGGUACUUAACCAGAAAGGGACGGCUAACUACGUGCCAGCAGCCGCGGUAAUACGUAGGUCCCGAGCGUUGUCCGGAUUUAUUGGGCGUAAAGAGCUUGUAGGCGGUUCGUCGCGUCUGGUGUGAAAGCCCAUCGCUUAACGGUGGGUUUGCGCCGGGUACGGGCGGGCUAGUGUGCGGUAGGGGAGACUGGAUUUCUCGGUGUAACGGUGGAAUGUGUAGAUAUCGGGAAGAACACCAAUGGCGAAGGCAGGUCUCUGGGCUGUUACUGACGCUGAGAAGCGAAAGCGUGGGGAGCGAACAGG